ACGGAAGGCAGCAGUAGGGAAUCUUCGGCAAUGGGGGCAACCCUGACCGAGCAACGCCGCGUGAGUGAAGAAGGUUUUCGGAUCGUAAAGCUCUGUUGUAAGAGAAGAACGUGUGUGAGAGUGGAAAGUUCACACAGUGACGGUAACUUACCAGAUAGGGACGGCUAACUACGUGCCAGCAGCCGCGGUAAUACGUAGGUCCCGAGCGUUGUCCGGAUUUAUUGGGCGUAAAGCGAGCGCAGGCGGUUUAAUAAGUCUGAAGUUAAAGGCAGUGGCUUAACCAUUGUUCGCUUUGGAAACUGUUAAACUUGAGUGCAGAAGGGGAGAGUGGAAUUCCAUGUGUAGCGGUGAAAUGCGUAGAUAUAUGGAGGAACACCGGUGGCGAAAGCGGCUCUCUGGUCUGUAACUGACGCUGAGGCUCGAAAGCGUGUGGAGCAAACAGGAUUAGAUACCCUGGUA
rnacentral:rRNA from 1 species